GCUUCCCCGCCGUCGCUCUCCGCCAUUAGCCGCAAAGCUGGAGCUCCAAGCUUGCAAGCUCCCACUCCACCUUCCCCUCUCCGGCGCCCGCCCGCCCGACAAGACAAUGACCAGUGGGACUUUUUCCGCUGGACCCCACCUGUCAUUCAUCCGAAACAGUUAGCCAGGAGCCCGCGACGGUACAGUGGGACGGCCGCGGCCUGGCUUUAGCUCGACGGUGGUGGUAAGCUGUGACCGCGGGAGCAAGCGGGAAAUGCAGCGGCCGCGACGGAGACGAGUCAUGCACGUGCGGCGCGCAUGGGCACAGCCGCAAAGGCAGCCGGGCGGAACACUGGUGGGUCCCACCCGUCCCGUGAUCUGGUACUGUAUCUCCUUUUCUCUGUGCGUACCCCGCCGUGUGGCCUUCUGGGUCCCGGACGCAGUCUCUGCUGUCAUUUCAGUGGGGCCGAAGGGUCAGCGGAUAGGUUCGAUGAUUAUUGUACACUGUUGUGUUUGGCGAGUGAUGGGACGUGCAGGCCAUGUGAAGGUGAAGCUAGUGGGAAACUUGGGGUGAUCCGAGCCGUUGGUAGGUCCACUUGGCGGCCAAGGAAUCGGAUCCCGGCCGUCCAUGCUUUGGUUGGCGAAGCGGGCGAAAAGGCUUGGCGAUGCAUGGGAGCCGAGUUCAUCGAUCGUCACUUCGUCAGGAAGUAAACUGGUCAAAAAGAAAAAACUGCUUCAACUGGGCUUCAACUCGCGUGUAGACAGAAAGAAAAACUGUUUCAACUAGCAAUAGUACAAUUAUGUGUUUAAAUGAGAACGUAAUGGGCAUCGGGCGCGUGCUCGUGCAUUGCUAGUUCUCGGCUCACAUCUCUCCAUCACGGAUUGAUUUCUUUAUUGCAGCAGCUCGUAUGGCACGGCAACACAUUUGAAGGCAAGCCAGUGAUUACAUCAUUUCAGUUUUAUUCUAAAUUUGCCAAGUUUUGGUUUGUCCACGCGUUAAGUAUUGCUUGGCUAGCUGGCCUUCGCUUGGUUUGGGUAUGAAAACUUUAAAAGAUGGCCUUGUGUAUGCGCGUGUGUGUUAUCGGUGCACGGGUAUUGGCUCAUUUUAAUAGUCAAACAAGCCGCGUGUGUGCGGGCCUGAUCACA